UACGUAGGUGGCAAGCGUUGUUCGGAAUUAUUGGGCGUAAAGGGUGAGUAGGCGGUUUGUUAAGUCGGUCGUGAAAGCCCGGGGCUCAACCCCGGAGGGUCGACCGAUACUGGCAGGCUAGAGUACAGAAGAGGUAACUGGAAUUCCCGGUGUAGCGGUGAAAUGCGUAGAUAUCGAGAGGAGCACCUGCGGCGAAGGCGGCGUCCUGGACUGGUACUGACGCUCAGGAGCGAAAGCGUGGGGAGCGAUCCGG
rnacentral:rRNA from 1 species